rnacentral:rRNA from 1 species
AUGAUUGCUGUUCAUGAAUUGCCAUUCUCGUUUGUGGAAUACGAGGGAUUUAGAAGAUUUGUGUACAGUCUGAAUCCCACAUUUGAGGUGGUGUCUAGGACGACAAUAAGAGUUGAUUGCCUCAUGCUAUUUCAUGAACAAAGGGAAAAGUUUCGAGAGGCUAUACAGAACUUAACCUCUCGUGUCCCUUUAACCGCCGACAUGUGGACUUCAAGUCAAGCCGUGAGCUAUAUGUGUAUAACAUGCCAUUUUGUUAGUACGACGAAGUGGAAAUUGCAGAAAAAAGUGAUUUGGUUU